GACCGACAUUCAGCGACUCGUUCUGCGACCCAUUGCCGACGGCGAGGUAGGCGUUCAUCCCCAGCUCGCGCAUCUGCUGUUCGCCGAUCACCCGGGUGAUGACGUUUUGCUGUAGGUAUCGGCCAGCUGACGCGCCUGGGAAGCCAGAUAGGCGGCGUUACAGAUGUUCGGCGGCAUAUUGCCAAGAUCUUUCGC
rnacentral:antisense_RNA from 1 species